UACGAAGGGGGCUAGCGUUGCUCGGAAUCACUGGGCGUAAAGCGCACGUAGGCGGAUUGUUAAGUCAGGGGUGAAAUCCUGGAGCUCAACUCCAGAACUGCCUUUGAUACUGAGGAUCUUGAGUUCGGGAGAGGUGAGUGGAACUGCGAGUGUAGAGGUGAAAUUCGUAGAUAUUCGCAAGAACACCAGUGGCGAAGGCGGCUCACUGGCCCGAUACUGACGCUGAGGCACGAAAGCGUGGGGAGCAAACAGG
rnacentral:rRNA from 1 species